rnacentral:rRNA from 1 species
AACGAACGCUGGCGGCAGGCUUAACACAUGCAAGUCGAACGCCUGUAGCAAUACAGGAGUGGCGGACGGGUGAGUAACGCGUGGGAACGUGCCCUGAGGUACGGAAUAACUGAGGGAAACUUCAGCUAAUACCGUAUGAGCCCCUUACGGGGGAAAGAUUUAUCGCCUUGGGAGCGGCCCGCGUCGGAUUAGCUAGUUGGUGGGGUAACGGCCUACCAAGGCUUCGAUCCGUAGCUGGUCUGAGAGGACGAUCAGCCACACUGGGACUGAGACACGGCCCAGACUCCUACGGGAGGCAGCAGUGGGGAAUAUUGCGCAAUGGGGGCAACCCUGACGCAGCCAUGCCGCGUGAACGAUGAAGGCCUUAGGGUUGUAAAGUUCUUUUGCCCGUGACGAUGAUGACGGUAACGGGAGAAUAAGCUCCGGCUAACUUCGUGCCAGCCGCCGCAGUAAUAC